CCGGUAUUUUUAAAAAAAAAUUUAACAAGUAUAAUCUACGUAUACGAUCUACAGUAUACAUAAUAACAGUAUACAUAAUAACAGUAAUCUAAAUAAAUUAUUUCAAUUCAAAUCACAUUGCAUAUUUCGUUACAAAUAAUGAAUUUCUUCGAAUACUUGUUAUUAUUGCUAUCUCUAAUGGCGAUACCAAUCUACGUAUCAUCGAUAAACAUUCAAAGUCCACUACAAGUGAAAUCAGUACCGAAAAACGAAAAGGAUUUUCUUCUUCCAUCUAAUCCUUAUAUUUCUAUAAUUCCUAUAAGUCCUUCUAUAAUUCAGGUACCAUGCAAAUCUGGAUAUGUAAAAAGCCCAAAAGAUAAUUUAUGUCGUCCCACAGUACCAUCAAAUUAAUGCGAAGAUGCGUCAUCGUAAAUCGUAAAAGGCCUUAUACCGCCAUCUGUUGUCUUCACGAAUCUUCUCAUAUCGACGAAUCGAAUUUACCGACUCAGCAUAAUGGACAUAAAGAUCAAGAAAUACGAGAAUCUAAGAUGUAAAAAUUUUUAUUAACGAUGAUUAAAUUUAAUUUGUGAUAUACUUGUAAUUUUUGUUUUUAAAAUUAAAAACGUGAAAUUUAAUAGAAAAA